CUCGAAGCAGUCAAUUCCAUCGAACUCCAGCGCGAAUCGUGGCCGUUGUGGCGACGUUGACUGUGAUUCCGCUUUGCGCCGGUAGAGCGCCAUGCUUCCAGUGUUGCUCUGCUCCGGGCUGGUCGUCGUGCGGCUUCCUCCCUCGCCAGGAGUAUCCAGACCAGCUGCUGCAGUCACCAGGGCAAGGGGCAAUGUCGACGGGCGACGCACUCAGGAUCGAGAAUGCCGGCACCUAGUCUGUACUCAAAUAGAGCUGGGAUAAUUCCUGCAGCAGCUCCGGUGGCUGAUGCUUUGGGCAUGGCGGUUUCUUCCGCUCGAGUAGUCCAGAAUAUUCGUGGCCGCGGUCACGGCACAGAACCAGCGAGACUGCGAGAGAGCUAGUGACGCAUGAGUGCUCAAUUACAUCUUCUUUUUCUUUUCUUUC
rnacentral:lncRNA from 1 species